GACGAACGCUGGCGGCGUGCUUAACACAUGCAAGUCGAACGGUGAUGCUCCAGCUUGCUGGAGUGGAUCAGUGGCGAACGGGUGAGUAACACGUGAGCAACCUGCCCCAGACUCUGGAAUAAGCGCUGGAAACGGCGUCUAAUACUGGAUACGAAACUGGCCCGCAUGGGCAUGGUUUGGAAAGUUUUUCGGUUUGGGAUGGGCUCGCGGCCUAUCAGCUUGUUGGUGAGGUAAUGGCUCACCAAGGCGACGACGGGUAGCCGGCCUGAGAGGGCGACCGGCCACACUGGGACUGAGGCACGGCCCAGACUCCUACGGGAGGCAGCAGUGGGGAAUAUUGCACAAUGGGCGAAAGCCUGAUGCAGCGACGCCGCGUGAGGGAUGACGGCCUUCGGGUUGUAAACCUCUUUCAGCAGGGAAGAAGCGAAAGUGACGGUACCUGCAGAAGAAGCACCGGCUAACUACGUG
rnacentral:rRNA from 1 species